CGGUUGCCGCAUCAGCAGAUGACGAGGGUCUCCCCUUUAAAGGCAGCCAUCGAGGACGACGAAGGCUGUCCUCAAGUCGGUGGUGGAGCAACGGUGGAAGGGGAUCGAUUUUAAGGACUUUGGAGAACACGAGGGCAGAGGCGUCAUCGCCACCGUGCCGUUCUCCAAGGGGGACGUGAUAUGCGGCUAUCACGGGAAGCUCAUCCCUGAAUCCGAGGGGAAGAGGCUGACGAGGACGACGAAGGCUGUCCUCAAGUCUGACGAAGGCUGUCCUCAAGUCGGUGGGGAAGCUCAUCCCUGAAUCCGAGGGGAAGAGGCUGACGAGGACGACGAAGGCUGUCCUCAAGUCGGUGGUGGAGCAACGGUGGAAGGGGAUCGAUUUUAAGGACUUUGGAGAACACGAGGGCAGAGGCGUCAUCGCCACCGUGCCGUUCUCCAAGGGGGACGUGACAUGCGGCUAUCACGGAAAGCUCAUCUCUGAAUCCGAGGGGAAGAGGCUGAUGGAUGCAAUGCAGGAGGGAGCGAUGAGCUACCUCUUCUUCG